rnacentral:rRNA from 1 species
UUGACCUCAGAUCAGGUAGGACUACCGCCUGAACUUAAGCAUAUCAAUAAGGCGAGGAACAGAAACCAACAGGGAUUCCCCUAGUAGUGGCGAAUGAAGCGGGAAAAGCUCAAGUUUGAAAUCUGGUGGGCUCGUCCCCUCAGAGUUGUAAGCUGAAGAGGCAUUGACCGACGUUGUCCGGGCCCAAUUUCCUUGGAACAGGAAGUCAUGGAGGGUGAGAACCCCGUCUGUGGCUCGGAGCCUUCGUCCUUGUGUCGUGUCCUCGAAGAGUCGGGUUGUUUGGGAAUGCAGCUCAAAAUGGGUGGUAAAUUCCAUCUAAGGCUAAAUAUUGGCGAGAGACCGAUAGCAAACAAGUAGAGUGAUCGAAAGAUGAAAAGUACUUUGAAAAGAGAGUGAAACAGUACGUGAAAUUGUUGAAAGGGAAGCGUUUGGCAUCAGCCCAUGGCGUUCAUCGAUCAUCCAGGCUUCUGCCUGGUGCACUUGAUGGACGUCGGGCCAGCGUCGGCUUUGCCCGCCGGAUAAAGGUCUUGGGGAUGUGGCACCCUUCGGGGUGCGUUAUAACCCUUGACGUCAUGCGGUGUGGUGGGGCCGAGGUCUGCG